GAUGAACGCUGGCGGCGUGCCUAAUACAUGCAAGUAGAACGCUGAAGGAGGAGCUUGCUCUUCUGGAUGAGUUGCGAACGGGUGAGUAACGCGUAGGUAACCUGCCUGGUAGCGGGGGAUAACUAUUGGAAACGAUAGCUAAUACCGCAUGACAACAGUUAUUGCAUGAUAACUGUUGAAAAGGGGCACCUGCUCCACUACCAGAUGGACCUGCGUUGUAUUAGCUAGUUGGUGAGGUAACGGCUCACCAAGGCGACGAUACAUAGCCGACCUGAGAGGGGGGUCGGCCACACUGGGACUGAGACACGGCCCAGACUCCUACGGGAGGCAGCAGUAGGGAAUCUUCGGCAAUAGACGGAAGUCUGACCGAGCAACGCCGCGUGAGUGAAGAAGGUUUUCGGGUCGUAAAGCUCUGUUGUAAGAGAAGAACGAGUGUGAGAGUGGAAAGUUCACACUGUGACGGUAUCUUACCAGAAAGGGACGGCUAACUACGUG
rnacentral:rRNA from 1 species